AUUGAACGCUGGCGGCAGGCCUUACACAUGCAAGUCGAACGAUUGGCGGACGGGUGAGUUAUGUCUGGGACACUGCCCGAUGGAGGGGGAUAUCUACUGGAAACGGUAGCUAAUACCGCAUACCAUCCGAUGGGCCUAGAUGGGAUUAGCUAGUGGGUGGGGUAACGGCUCACCUAGGCGACGAUCCCUCGCUGGUCUGAGAGGAUGACCAGCCACACUGGAACUGAGGCACGGUCGAGACUCCUACGGGAGGCAGCAGUGGGGAAUAUUGCACAAUGGGCGCAAGCCUGAUUCAGCCAUGCCGCGUGUAUGAGGAAGGCCUUCGGGUUGUAAAGUACUUUCAGCGAGGAGGCGUUACUCGCAGAAGAAGCACCGGCUAAAUCCGUGCCAGCAGCCGCGGUAAUAC
rnacentral:rRNA from 1 species